AAGAUAAUGAGACCUGGGAAGAAGAAAAAUACUCCUCGUCCAAGUAGUCCAGGGAACGGUUGGUAUUGAUGUAUACUUGAGACCUUUGAUUGAAGAACUUAAAGAGCUAUGGGCAGAAAGGAUUGAUACUUAUGAUUCACUUAG